rnacentral:lncRNA from 1 species
AUAGAUUUAUUUUUUUUUAAUAAAAGUUGUCAUUUAAUAAUUUGAUUUGAUCGGAUAGGUGGCGUAUUUUAUAAAAUUAGUGCACUUCUGUACGAAAGUAUAUUUUUCUUAUCAUGUAAUUAUCGCUGAUAAUGAAAUCUGAUGAAGACAAUCUUCAUUGAUAAGCGCAAAAGACAAUUGUAGGAUCGUGGACCCGAGCCAUUAGUUUUAAAAAUUCAAACUGUUAGAAAAAAAUGCAAUAAAUUCAUUCAAGACUUACAGACACAGAAUUCGGUUCAGCCAUCUUCUUUCUGUUUCGAAUAUGCCUUGAUCCAAUCUGACCUCCUGUCACUUCGAACGUAAUUCGGCCAACCUAACUUCUCGACAUAGGUCAAGAUGCUGAUCUCUUUAAACCAACAAAAAUUUGAUGUUUGAUGAAUGCACGCGGUUCGAAAGAACAAGCUAGAGGGAGCUAGAUAAAAUAUAUUAUUUGCACUUGCUUCAAACCCUACAUUGUGGACGGCAUAUAUAUAUAUAAGGCUAUAUAUAAGGUUUAUGUCCUUACUAGCUUAUUUUUAUAAUAUUAUUAAAAAAAAGAAUUAUUUAUUAUUGAGUUUAUAAGCUAAAGUAUUAUUCUUUCGUAGCUUAAGUUUUUUUUAAAAAAAAUAAUAUUUGAUUCGCAUGAUUUAAAAUAAUAUGAAAGUAGAAGGUCUUGAAUUUUAGUUCUGUCGACUCCUUACAAUUAUUUUGUUUCCUUCUUUUUAAUUCAACUCAAUAUCUUGAUCGACCAAA